UCCGUAGGUGAACCUGCGGAAGGAUCAUUACCAAUAUGAAAGCGGGAUGGGGAGCCACGGCAUCAGGCGCUCCGGCGUGUAAUGCCGCCCCAUCUGGCUGACUAUUCACCCAUGUCUUUUGCGUACCACUUGUUUCCUUGGUGGGCUUGCCCACCGAUAGGACAGUAUUAAACCAUUUGCAAUUGCAGUCAGCGUCAGAAAAAACUUAAUAGUUACAACUUUCAACAACGGAUCUCUUGGUUCUGGCAUCGAUGAAGAACGCAGCGAAAUGCGAUAAGUAGUGUGAAUUGCAGAAUUCAGUGAAUCAUCGAAUCUUUGAACGCACAUUGCGCCCCUUGGUAUUCCAUGGGGCAUGCCUGUUCGAGCGUCAUUUGUACCCUCAAGCUUUGCUUGGUGUUGGGUGUUUGUCUUCCGCUGGGAGACUCGCCUUAAAACAAUUGGCAGCCGGCAUAUUGGUAUCGGAGCGCAGCACAAGUCGCGCUUCUUUCCAUGAAUGUCAGCGUCCAUCAAGACCAUUUUUCACUCUUGACCUCGGAUCAGGUAGGGAUACCCGCUGAACUUAAGCAUAUCA
rnacentral:rRNA from 1 species